rnacentral:tRNA from 1 species
ACUAAAAUGGCAGAUAGAUGCACAGGAUUUAAGCUCCUGCCAGAAAGUUUCUUACUUUUUUUAGUA